UGCAUGCCUUCAUCCCUCCUCCACUAUGGUCAAAGAGCAGGAUAUCUAACAACAUCUUACAUCUAUGCAACCCUUGCUCAGUUGCAAUGUGCUUUCAUUUGUAUUAUUUUAUUUAGUCCUCCCAACAGCCCUGUGGGUUCAGUGGCAUUCUUCCAGUUUUAUCGAUCAGUAAGCCAAGGCUCAGACUAUCAUUUCAGAGCCAGUUAUCUCCCAGUUGGGUCUCCAAGAGGCACCAAGAAGCCAAGUGCUUUUCCUUGACUUCUUGCAAUAGC
rnacentral:lncRNA from 1 species